GCGGCCUCGGACUGGGCUGGGCUUCAGGUUUGCCGGCCGGUGGUUGUCCGUAGGGGUGAGCCGGGUAGGGUUAGGAAUGGGGGGGAGGGCGUGCGGGGACUGGCGCUGAGGGCGUGCGGGGUGCGGCGCAGUGAGAGGAAAGUGGAGAAGAUUUAGGUUAGGUCCGUUAGGGAGAGAAUGAGAAUUAGUGGAAAAAAAAACCCUAGUACUUUACAUUAUGGUCGGUCGGUUCGGUUUUCGACCGGCCAAAAUCGAGAAAACCGAACCGGCCGACCAAACCAAAAUUUCUGCAUAUUUUGGGCCGAACCGACCGCCCAGUACAAAAAAACCGACCGAAAACCGAUCGGUUCGGUCAUUUUUCGGUCGGCUCGGUUUUUGCUCACCCCUAAAUGUAGCAAACUUUAAUGGGACGGAGGAAGUAUCUCUCAAUCACGGUUCUCCUCCCCAAAUCUCUCUCUGUUCACGAUCUCUCCCUCUUUGUGAGAUAGUCGUCGCCACUGCUGAGGCAAGUUCCGGCGAAUGGUAGGUAUUCGUGAUCUUCCAGCGAAAUCGAUCGCCGCGACCUCGCCUCUUCAUUUUCGUCUAACAUAUAGCUAGGGCAAAGGUUGAGCCCUAGUUCUUCUCUGUUCGGUACAGCCCAUCCGUCGCCAUCUCAGGGAGACCGGCGAGCUGCACGACCUAGAGUCCGCCCAUCGCUGCUGGUGGUUCGCGGAUCGGCGAGCCGAUAGUGUUCUCCGGCCGAUUCUCUUCUCAACUCCACAUAAUCGAGGUAGGAAAGGGGGAGAGCCCUAAUUCUCCUCUCAUCCUCUAUCUGCCGUUUCGGUCGUGAGCUUCCGGUGAGGCCGUCGCUGUUACUUGGAGGGUUGGAGGUGUCUUGGCCAUGUCUCGUGCAUUUGGAAAUCGCAUGCUGAAACAAUUCGUUGUAGCUGAACCUGAGAUUCAGGCUUUGUAGGGGGAGCUUGCGUUUGAGAUUGCGGAGGAGUUCGCGCAGGAGUAUAUCCGGAUGUCUUUCGAUGAUGGGAAGCUUUCCCACAUUGUCUAUGUUGUGUAGCUGAGGUUUUCAACUUACACCUUGUGAAAUUUUGCUGCUUAUAUUGUUAUGUGUUGGUUUAUAUGCUGUUAGAGGACCAGGUGUAUCUUGUGUAGUUGUGGAGUUGUACAGGAGGUGUAGACUUGUGAUAAUUAAAAGCCUUUAGUUUUAUUGAGUACUAUAAAAAAAUGAUCUUUUUGAAUGAGAUUGCCUUUUUUGAAGUUUCUAAUCGUGCUUUUCAGAUUUGAGAUGGCAAUGGAUUUAUCUUUGUGAAGAUAGGAAGACUAAGUGAGGUUUUGUUGUUGGGUUUGUGUGUAUUUGCAGAUUUAUCACUCAACUACUGCAAUCUUAUUGGAAUUGUGUGACUUUUCUAGUUGUCAUGUAAUGUUUGUGAUGUUAAUAAUAUUUGAUUAUGAGAGUUCUGACGAAUGUUAAAACCCUAUAUAAAAUGAAACUAAUAAGUAAACUUCAUUAUCAUAUUGGAUAGUAUGUUGCUGAAUUUGCCUACCUUAUAUUUCAGGCAAAAGGCAUGUUUCCUUGAGCACCUUGACUUGACUGUGUAGAAGUCGAUAGAUAGCAUUAGACUGAGUUGUUGGUUUUACAUAUAUUUUUUCACAUUCAUUAUGCAAAUAUAGUUCACAUUCUCACGCUCUUGCUCAUAUAUUUCACAACUUCAACUCUUGACCGUAGUCUAAUGAUGGGAUAAAUAUGCAAGUCACCAACUGUGCAUCGUGCUCUGUAAUGUUCACUUAGCUAUGUAAUAUUCCAUUUAGAUUGAAUUAGUUAACUUGAUGUAUAAAUAAGGGAUUUGAUGGACAAACUUGAAGUGAAACUAUGCAUCAGUACUAAUUCCAACGGUACAGGGGAAAAUCACUUACAUAUGCAGGCAGCUUAACAAGUCAGUAGUGGUAGAUGCUCAGCUUUUGGAGUCGAUGGUCAAAUAUCCUACCCCAACAAGAGCUGAGUUUCAGUUGCUGGUGUUCACUUUCUGAUAUAAUGUGGCUUUUGUAGAAGAGGUGUUCAAGAAUUGAAAAAACAAGUGAAUGUCGGAAGAAUUCAUUAGUUAGAGAGCAGAAAGCAUACUAUGACGAUGAUGAUAAUUUUGUUUUAGUUAUAAGAUACUCGAUAAUUUCAGUUUUUAUCGAAAUAAUUGCUAUGAUUAUAUUGUACUUGAUACUUGGUGUAAUUCAGAUGAUAUUGUAUGAAUAUUUCGAAUGAUAUACUCCCUCCGUCCGCGAAUUAAAUCCCCAUUUGCCUCUAAA